rnacentral:rRNA from 1 species
UGGGGAAUAUUGCGCAAUGGGCGAAACCCUGAUCCAGCCAUUCCGCGUGAGUGAAGAAGGCCUUCGGGUUGUAAAGCUCUUUCGGCAGGAACGAAACGGUUUGGGCUAAUACCCCAGACUACUGACGGUACCUGAAGAAGAAGCACCGGCUAAUUACGUGCCAGCAGCCGCGGUAAUACGUAGGGUGCGAGCGUUAAUCGGAUUUACUGGGCGUAAAGCAUGCGCAGGCGGCGGUUCAAGUCAGGUGUGAAAUCCCCGAGCUUAACUUGGGAAUUGCGCUUGAAACUAGAUCGCUAGAGUACGGCAGAGGGGGGUAGAAUUCCACGUGUAGCAGUGAAAUGCGUAGAGAUGUGGAGGAACACCGAUGGCGAAGGCAGCCCCCUGGGCCUGUACUGACGCUCAUGCAUGAAAGCGUGGGGAGCAAACAGGAUUAGAUACCCCAGUAGUCCCUGAGCGGGCUGGCAAGGCGCAU